rnacentral:rRNA from 1 species
UACGGAGGGUGCGAGCGUUAAUCGGAAUUACUGGGCGUAAAGGGUGCGUAGGUGGUUUGGCAAGUUAUCUGUAAAAGCCCUGGGCUCAACCUGGGAAGGUCAGAUAAGACUGCGAGACUCGAGUAUGGGAGAGGGUAGUGGAAUUUCAGGUGUAGCGGUGAAAUGCGUAGAGAUCUGAAGGAACACCGGUGGCGAAGGCGGCUACCUGGCCUAAUACUGACACUGAGGCACGAAAGCGUGGGGAGCAAACAGGAUUAGAUACCCUGGUAGUCCACGCUGUAAACGAUGUCAACUAGCCGUUGGUUAUAUGAAUAUAAUAAGUGGCGCAGCAAACGCGAUAAGUUGACCGCCUGGGGAGUACGGUCGCAAGAUUA